AAUAUCAGUGGAAACAACUCAAACAAAGAAUCUUAUUCCCAAGAUAAUGACAAGCGAUCUGAAUGGGAGAAUAUUACACCCAAGGUUCUGAGCAAAAAUUGCUGAUUGUCUUUACUAUUAACCACUCAUGGGCACUUCUGGGGGAUCAGAUUCUCAGCUUGUAAAGGUGGCAUCAGCGCAUGUAGGGUUUGACGACCUUGAUUCCUUGAAGCAAACACCUUUGGAAGGAAAACGAACCAAAUUGAUUGAGACCAUUCUCUAGUAUGUCGGCUUUCACUCCCAUGUAGAGCUUCAGAAAGGACUUCACUGCAGUUGUGAAGCUGCGAAGUAGAUGGUGAGCGUGAUAUUUAUAGUUAAUUACUUUGGAAAUACUUUUGUUGAAUAAAUACACGAUAACAAUAUUUUUGUAUUUGCUUAAUCAUUGCUAAAAACCCUUUG